AUGACGGCAGAUCCCGAAGUCAGCCCCAACGUCUUCCCACUGAGUCUCCAUUAUCCUAAUUGUUAUGGAAACGUGGUCGUCGGCGUCCUGAUCCGGGGCUACUUCCCUGUGGGCCCUCUGAGUGUGAGCUGGAAUGUCAGCGGGAAUUCAAUUAACCUCCCACCGGUGGUGUCUGCAACUGACCCUGGGACCCAGUUCACCUCAUGCCGCCUGCUGAUACCAGAGGAGUGCCCUGAGGGAAGCAGUGUGUCCUGCACCGUGGAACACAACAACGACUACAACGUGAAUGUGGAGGUUCCCUGCCUAGAUCCAUGUCCCUGUAUUUGCCCGACGAACUGCAAGUCCAGCAUCUCCCUGCAGAGGCCAAGCAUCAAAGACCUGCUCCUCAAAUCAGAAGCCAACAUCACCUGCACCCUGAAAGGCGUGAAGAAUCCCGAUGAUGCCGUCUUCAAAUGGACACCCGACACGGGGAACACUCCUGUGCUGCUUAGUGCCCAGGAGGACUCCUGCGGCUGCUACAGUGUGUCCAGCGUGCUGCCCGGCUGCGCAGAACUCUGGAACCAGGGGACACAGUUCACAUGCACUGUCGAACACCCUGAGAUAGAGGGCGGCUCACUGACUGACACCAUCAGCAAAAACACAGGGAACAUCAUCCCACCCCAGGUGCACCUGCUGCCUCCGCCGUCAGAAGAACUAGCCCUAAACGCACUGGUGACGCUGACCUGCCUGGUGCGUGGCUUCAGCCCCAAGGACGUGCUCAUCUACUGGCUGCAUGCAGAAAAGCUGGUCCCCAGGGAAGACUUCCUGGUGUUUAAGCCCCUGCCAGAACCCAACCAGACUUCCAGCACCUUCGCCGUGACCAGCCUGCUGCGCGUCUCGGCCGAGGAUUGGAACAAUGGGGACAACUUCUCCUGCGUGGUGGGCCAUGAGGGCCUGCCCGACAACUUCACCGAGAAGACCAUCGACCGUCUGUCGGGUAAACCCACCCACGUCAACGUGUCUGUGGUCGUGGCAGACGUGGAAAGUGUCUGCUACUGAGCCACCUGCCCUGCCCUGAAUAAACUGUGUGCUGGCCCCAGCA